rnacentral:rRNA from 1 species
CAAAAACAUAACCUUUAGCCCGACAAGUAUUAAAGGCAAUGCCUGCCCAGUGAACAAUUAAACGGCCGCGGUACCCUAACCGUGCAAAGGUAGCGUAAUCAUUUGUCUACUAAUUAUAGACCUGUAUGAAAGGCAAAAUGAGGGCCCAACUGUCUCUUAUAAUCAAUCAAUUAAACUGAUCUCCUAGUAAAAAAGCUAGAAUUCACACAUAAGACCAGAAGACCCUGUGAAGCUUAAACUAAACUAUUAAACCUUAUAAUAACUACUUUCGGUUGGGGCGACCUUGGAAAAAAAAAGAACUUCCACACACCAAUGACUACUCAUACCCAAUAGGCCCACUAGCCACUAACUGACCCAGCAAAGCUGACAAAUGAACCAAGUUACUCCAGGGAUAACAGCGCAAUCUUCUUCAAGAGCCCAUAUCAAAAAGAAGGUUUACGACCUCGAUGUUGGAUCAGGACAUCCUAAUGGUGCAGCCGCUAUUAAGGGUUCGUUUGUUCAACGAUUAACAGUCCUACGUGAUCUG